GGGUCCCUCCCGGGGGGCGGAGAGCUGCAGGUGACGCGGUGAGAGCGAAGGAGCCCGGGCACCCGACCCCUCCGGCCUUGGCUGUGCGCAGGCAGGAGGAGAGCGGGUGUGGAUCCUGUUCUCACACAUCAGCAUAAACCAACAGCAUUAUGGAUGAUUGUAGACUCACGCUGGCAUAAUACCAAACCUGUUUCCACCCACUGCUGUCCCAUGCCAUUAGCUGUGGACUGUAAUAGAAGCUCAGAAUUUGGAUCUCCUUGUUCAGAAUUUCAGCAGGAGCUGCAAAUGAACUAGUUCCCUGAAAGUUCAUCUAGAGGUUUGAAUUCAUCGUGUAUUGAGCUGAGCUGUUUUCCUGCGUGCCCAUCUGUUUGGCCUUUGAGAUGCUUAUACCUGUUGUGAUUAUCUUCUGAGAAUUUUUAAGAAGUUUUGAUAAAAACACGAACAUCACAAGAACAUCUUUGCAUCCAGUGAUCGGUUUUGCUGAGUUUUUAGAUCUUCAGAAACUGAAAAUAAAUUUACCAUUCCUAUGCAUUUGAGAACAGGGAAGUGCCCAACUGCACCAGCACUAGCUGGAAGGUGUUAGCUGCCCAGCCUGGAGAACAACCAAGCUUCAGCUCCGGUGCCUCCUCUUCAUCUGGAACUGUUAUCUGACUGCUAAUGAGAUAACUGGGUCUAUCAACUAUUCCUACAGACAUUUUUGUGCAAGCAGUG